rnacentral:rRNA from 1 species
UGCCUCAUACAUGCAAGUCGAACGAGGUUUUCGGACCUAGUGGCGCACGGGUGAGUAACAUGUGGGAAUCUACCUGAAGGUUCGGAAUAACUGCGGGAAACUGUAGCUAAUACCGGAUGUGUCUGAAAAGAGAAAGAUUUAUCGCCUUCAGAUGAGCCCGCACUAGAUUAGCUAGUUGGUGAGGUAACUGCUCCACCAAGGCUACGAUCUAUAGCUGAUUUGAGAGGAUGAUCAGCCACACUGGGACUGAGACACGGCCCAGACUCCUACGGGAGGCAGCAGUAGGGAAUAUUGGACAAUGGGGGAAACCCUGAUCCAGCAAUGCCGCGUGAGUGAAGAAGGCCUUCGGGUUGUAAAACUCUUUCAUCAAUGAUGAUAAUGACAUUAGUUGAAGAAGAAGCUCCGGCUAACUUCGUGCCAGCAGCCGCGGUAAUACGAAGGGGGCUAGCGUUGUUCGGAAUCACUGGGCGUAAAGCGUAUGUAGGCGGAUCAAAAAGUUAGAUGUGAAAUCCCUGGGCUCAACCCAGGAACUGCAUUUAAAACUAGUGAUCUAGAAUUUGGUAGGGGUUAGUAGAAUUUCCAGUGUAGAGGUGAAAUUCGUAGAUAUUGGAAAGAAUACCAGUGGCGAAGGCGACUAACUGGGCCAUUUUUGACGCUGAGAUACGAAAGCGUGGGUAGCAAACAGGAUUAGAUACCCUGGUAGUCCACGCAGUAAACGAUGAGUGCUAGUCGCUGGGACAUUAGUUUCAGUGUCGACGCUAACGCAUUAAGCACUCCGCCUGGGAAGUACGGU